GGAUAGAAAAGCAGGAAGCAAAACCACAACAUAACACUUUCAUAAUUCAACAGAAUUACAAACAGAGGUCUACAGCCAAAAGUCUUCAAAAGACUGGCUCUUAAAAAUGAACUGUCCUACGACCUACAAGUCAUACACGCUCUCCAAUCCUUAUAACUUCAUCUUUGCAACUCCUCAAGGCCAACCAAAGCUAUCUGGUCGCUCCGUCCACCAGGGACCUGAAAUUUUAAUCCCACAACCGAGAUGAGACGAUGUCUUAGCAAGUUCAACCCCCUAAACCCCUAUUAGAAAGAAAAUACGCCCCGGGUGGCCUAGCCACAUCACACAGAAGACUUACCUCGCCUCAGCCUUCAUCUGCAGGUUAGCACAAUUUAUAUAAUUUAACCACAUACAAUUAUGAUAACCAAACAACCGUGGCACAAUCACAUUAUCAAAACAAUUCAACCACUUGGAUCGUCUCAGCGAUCAAUCGACUCGGCCGAUUACAUGUCAUUCUAGCAAAUCAAUCAUUGCUCUCAAUCCCGGCCCUAUAGGAAGGUUUAACAAUCAGUGGCAAUCACGGCCCCACUCGGCACGACCUUUAAUUAUGUGGUCCAUCACGGCCUCACUAGGCACGACCUCUAAUAGGUGGUUAAUUACGGCCUCACUGGGCACGACCUCUCCUAGGUGGUACAUCACGGCCUCACUGGGCACGACCUCUAAUAGGUGGUCAAUCACGGCCUCACUAGGCACGACCUCUCAUAGGUGGUUCAUCACGGCCCUAUUAGGCACGACCUCUCAUAGGUGGUCCAUCACGGCCUCACUGGGCACGGCCUCUAAUAGGUGGUUAAUCACGGCCUCACUGGGCACGGCCUCUAAUAGGUGGUUAAUCACGGCCUCACUGGGCACGACCUUUCCUAGGUGGUACAUCACGGCCUCACUGGGCACGACCUUUCCUAGGUGGUACAUCACGGCCAAUCUCCCAUCAAUUUCUACACUUAGGAUUUUAUAAAAAAAAAUCCCUAUUUAUCACAAUCACACUCCAUUUGCCACAAUCAAUCAUCAAAUGCACAGCAGCGAUCGGCACGAAAUUCUGAGAGUUUAGGGUCCUGACAAAAUUUUCGGAAUUUAUUAAAUAAUUAAAUUUAUUCCGAAAAUAAUUAAAUAAUAAUAUUCAUAUUUCUCACGAUCCACACUCAAUUUAUAAUAUCCAAUCAUCAAUUUCAAAAUUCGACUACACAGCAGCGAUCGGCACGAAAUUUUGAGCAACCGGGAUCAAAAGUAAUUUUUCCUUUUUUUUUUAAAUAAUAAUAUUUAAUAAUUUCGGAAUUAAUAUAAUAUUAUAAAUUUCCAGAAUUUCGAAGCAAUUAAAUAAUUCAAAAUUAAAAUCCUAUUAUGUCACAUCAAGGCUUUAUAUUAAAAAUAAACAUACUUAACUUUAAUCAUCAACCAAAUAAACUAAUAUAACUACAUAAACUUACUUAACUUAGACUAAGCACACUUAGGGCAUCAUUAACCGUCUAAUCAAGGUUUAGUGAGUUAAACUCACCGGAUUAGAGAGCCGAGCGAACCAAAAUGACGAGGACGACGCGAGGAUCGACUUUCCUCAAGGCGGACCGAGCAUCCGGGCUCGGGAAGGCGGCCAAAAUGGCCCACGAAGGGGCUGCCAUACCCAUUUUCUUCUUCUCUGUUUGCUGCUGGUUGGGGGCGAAGGAGGGUAGAUCCGGGGCUGGUUGGGGUUGGGAGUGGGCGGAGGAGCUACGGCGGUGGCUGGCGGCGAUGAACGGCGGUGCACGGCGGCGACGUACGAGCUUCGGCAGCUCUUGCGCGAGCUGAACAGCAGCUCGGGACGACGAGCUAGGCGAAGCGGGCGGAGCGGCACGCGGGCGCGGGCUUCGCGCGGACGGCGGUGGUAGCGGCGAGCUUCGGCGACGGCGGGCGAUGGCGAUUCGGCUGGGCUACAGCCAGCUUCGACACCUCCUCAGAUCUGCUGGGUUUUCAAGCAGAAACCAGAGCCGGAGAAGAGAGGAGAGAGGGCGACGGGGGUGCGGCCGGUGGUGCGGGCGGACGGCAAGCAGCUUGGCGGUGCAAACGGCGGCGACGAGCGGCGGAGGGGGCGUGCGUGCGGGCUGGCGAGCUGCUGGUUCUCGGUCGGUUUUCCCCUCCCCACGUCCAAGAAGUUCCAAGGUUGAAGAUGAAAGAUGGAGAGAGAGAGAGAGAGAGAGAGAGAGAGAGAGAGAGAGAGAGAUGGGACCAUUCCCUUUUCUUUUCCUUUUUCCUUUAAUCCCACAAAAGUGGCCCACCAUGACCUCAUGGGUGAUGUCAUACUCCACUCACUCAAAACUCCCACAACCUUAUUCCAAUGGGUUCACUUGCAAUUUCCGCCGGGGUCUAAUUAUUUGUACAAUAACUUCUUCAAUUUCACUUGAUUCUCUUCUAAUUGAAUUAAAUUAAAGCCCAUAAAAUUAAUUCAAUGUCCCCACACUUCAAUUCACAUCUUCACCUUCACUUGUCUAUAUAAUCAACUUAAGUCCCAAAAGCGCGACCAAAAGCGGGUCUACUAAUUUCUCGAGCCAAAUUAGCCAUACCUUGAUUAUUUUGCCGAAAAACUCGGCUUGCAUGAAAAAUCUUCCGAAGAUUAGAUAAUGUUCCUAAAAUGAUUUGUGACACACCCAGACUUCCAAUUUCUGAAUUCGAUCCCAAUUUCACGGUUAAUUUCACUUUGGCACGAUACUAGCGCGGCCCAACCUACCGGGUAGCCUUUAGAAAUUUUCAUGCAUUUGACCUGUGGUUGAUCAUCUCAAGCCACGAUGUACAUCUUUGAAACAUUAGCGACUUUCGGUUGUCGAGGUAAUCUCAAGGUUUCAAAUACGAACACAGGGUACCCAAUCGAUAGAAAAGUCGGUCCAAUGCCGAUCGAUAAGAAUUGUGCGAUCUGGUGGAAUCACCCACACUCGAUCACAUGCCUCUGUCGAGUCAACCUAUCUCCGAUCUCUAAUCGAUUUUUAAUUGUGCCGUAAUGACCCUUGUAGAUUAGCUCGGUCGAAAGGUCGCUUCCUGGCCAAAUUCUCGAGUCUGAUGCAUUAGAAUUUCUUAACGACUUCACCCGAUAGACUAGUUCUCACAUGAGUGGCCGACUCAAGGAAAAGAACUAUAUGCGUGCCAACGAAAUGCCCGUCUCAAAUUAUUGAAAAUAGAAUUGGAAAAUCGAGAUGUCACAACUCUUCCCCUCUUAUAAAAAUUUCGUACUCGAAAUUUAAACCUUUACCAAUUCUUAGACAAAAAGGUGGGGGUACAGUCGUCUCAUAUAAUCUUCUCUUUCUCAAGUUGCUCCUUCAGUAACCUUCAGUACCAAUACUGCCAAAUCACUGCUAUCUUGCCGAAACCACUUCGGGUUCCAAAAUACUAAAUGCUUGCCCACUUAAAAUUUCAAAGGUCUUCAACACAAAAUUUGCGAAACUAAACUGAUGAUUCUGAGCAGUCUCUAAACCGUCUUUGAUAAUUGCGACUGAACCACUGAUUUCUGAACCAACUCUGGACUUGCGAUUUUCUGAUCUCUGAUCUCAUCUCAACCAACUGAAGUCCUGUAUACUCUACUCCUGGCCUGCGAUCUUUCUUUCCCUGACUUCAUCUCAGCAAUUGAAAUUCUGCACUCUCUGCUACGCACUGCUUAAGAAAGAACCAUUUGAAAGCUCUGCCAACUCAGAACAUCUGAUCUAUAUUUGAAAAACAAUUCAUCCCCGGCACUCCAUGCAGAUGAAUUAUAUGAUAUACACACACUUUGGUAUACCUAUUCCAAUCGAGAUCUUUUCGUGCAUUAAGGUGAGUUGACUCUGAUCAUCUGUCGACUACAACCUCAUAAGGAAUCAGUGCUCUUCCUGACUCCUUAAUAACCUGUCAUAACAUUCCAUCAUGUUAUACUUUCAUUCCCACACAAACCUCUCUCCAGUACUUGAAAAAGCUUUCCUAGCUUACAUUACCAAAUUCUCACUUACUGGCGCAUCCAACACUUACAACUUGUUCGGCGAUAUCUAUCGUCAUACCGAUCUACCAAUCCCGAUGAUAUAGAUUCUGACUCAUCUUCGCACUGUUUGGACAACGCUAAAGUUGCUAUGAUGAGCUUCCCAUAAGAUCUCUUCUUUAAUCUCCGUAUUGUCAAUUACACACAAUCGUCCUCAGAACCUUAGCGUUCUGCCUUCGGAAAUCUAAAAAAUCAAUCUCUCUCUCAUAUGCAUUCUCUUAUAGAAUCUUCUGAAUUUCUGAAUCUGUCCACUGAAUCGAUUUGAUUCUGAUCUGAACUCUCGGCUCAAUUCUAAGGGUAGUCAUAAGAUUCAAAAGGUGGCAUACCUUAGAUUUGAAAACUGAAUUUCGGACUUCCUCAAGUAAUAUUCAAUCCUUGAGUACCGACUGUACAGCUAAGGACUCUCAACUCAGUGCAUCUGCGACUUUGCUUACCUUUCCAGAGUGAUACAAAAUAUCAUAGUCAUAAUCCUUAAUGAGUUCCAUCCAGUGACGCUGUCUCAUAUUCAACUCCCGAGGUCUCAACUGACGGGACACAUAUGCAACAACCCUAUCCUGUUGUAUCAACACACAACCCAAUCCUUUAAACGACACAUCACUGCAUAUCUCAUAACUUUCAGGACCAGAUGGAAUAGUAAGCACAAGUGCGGUAGUCAGCCUCUCCUUAGGCCCUUAAAAACUACACUCGCACUUAUCUGUCAACACAAACUUUUCUUCCUUCUUCAGAAUUCUUGUCAACAGCGAUGCUAACACUGAAAACCUUUUUACAAACCAUAUGUAAUACCCUGCUAAACUCAGAAAACUUAUGAUCUUUAUCACUACAGUCAAUCUUGGCCAACUGAUCACAGCUUAAAUCUUGGACGAGGUCUACGGAGAUUUCUUCGCAUGAAAUCACGUGACCUAGGGGCACAACACGAGUCAUCCAAAACUCGCAUCUGUUAGGCUUAUCGUAAAAUCCAAAAGCACUCGAGGUCUAAAGUACCAUCCUCAAACGUCUCUCGUGCCCCUCGGCACUCUUCGAACACACUAGGAUAACUUCAAUGAACACGAUCACAACUGAUUCAAGUGUCCUUAAACAUUUUGCUCAUCAGACCCAAACAAACAGCUGGGGUGUCCAUUAAACCACACAACAUUACAGUAAACUCAUAACUACUGUAUCGAGUGCGAGAUCUUAACUUCGAUAUGUCUUUCUUCCUGAUCCUCAACUGAUGAUACCCUAACCUCAAGUCGAUCUUGAAGAAUAUCAACGUACAAACACAAUGAAUCAACUUUAUCCUUCACGAAUAGAACAGGUGUUCCCUAAGGUGAUGCACUGGAAAGUAUAAAUCCCCUAUCCAACACUUCUUGCAUCUACACCUUCAGUUCUUUUAAUUCGGGUAACAUCAUCCGGUAAGGAGCCUUAGGAAUUGGCUCUGUUCUGGGUGCUAAUUUAAUCACGAACUUUAUUUCUCUUUCUGACAGCAAACUUGACAAUUCUCCAAAGAUUACCUUAGAAAACUCAUGUACCACGAUUAUGUUCUCCAUAUUCGGCUCCUCAACUGACGCAUCUAUUACAGCUGCCAUGUAGAUUCGAUAACCAACAACCCGAACCCAGUCAUCUUCAGUGACGAAUAACAACGAUUGAAGUUCCUCUUCAGCUUUCAGUAAUUCAAAACUCUCGUACGCUAACUGAACAAACUGAAUUAUAUCACUGCCACGAUUCAUAACAGCAGAGAGCUCCUCGAGCCAGACCUUUUCAUAAAUGACUUCCAAGUCAUACAUAAGCAAACCCAUCAGGUACAACUAUAGUCAGAGACUCAUUUUCCUAUUACUUUAUUACAACAGAAACUCCACAACCUUCACUCAAAAUCCUGUUGCGCUACUCUGAUAAAACACCUCAAAACAUUCUUCCCUUGAUUAAUGCAUAGUCAAUCCAUUGUUAUUCCUUUCGCCAUCCUAGUGGCGUUCUAUCUGCAGUAACAGUGCUUACACUCUCUUGAACUUACACGAACAGUUCAUAACUUGACGGCCGUGUUGGCCACAUUCAAAGCAUGUUCUCCUUUUUACUCUGACAUUGGGCUGACUCAUGCCCCCUUUUCACAAACUCGGCACACAAUUAAUGAGUCUUCUACCUCCUAUCAAGGAAUAUCCAGCACCCUUCCUUGCACUGGGAUCCAUUCCAAGUACCCCACUGAACAUCCUGAAGCAUGCUUCCUCUGUUAUGUCUUAUCAACGGCGGCAACAGAAACAGCUGUGGUCCCAUCUGCUUAUACGGACAAUCUGUGAUCAAAUGGCCUUACUGGUAACACCUGUGACAAGUCAUUUCCCUUUUACAGCACAAAACAGAUCCAUGUCUUUUCUUACAGACACGAUACACAUCGAUCGAGUUGAGCACUGAUCUUCCAAUUCUACUCUUUCGGUUGGGUGAAACAGGGCACCUUUCUUCUGACAUUGGCCUUUCUCCCUAAUUGAUUUAUACCUCUGUCUAAACUGAACUUUGACUUAGAUACGGAGGCUUGAUCCUCGAUCACAACUCCAGAUUGGGCCUCAACAGGCGCGACAACAACAACGGUCACGACACUGGCAGCGGUAGAAAUAACGGCAACAGCGGCGGCUCGAUCCUGAGCUUACUGACCCAACGAGCUUCCAAGGAACACUAGCACCUGAACAAUCCCGACAAACCUAGGAUCAUUCGAUGCUGCUACACUCUCAGUACCGACCUACGGCGGUACUCUUACACGCGCGCUAGUCUAAGCCUGCGCUUUACCUCAGGUACCAACUCUUGUCAGCGUCUUACCCUGAGGUACAGGUCUUAUCGACCUCCUCCAAAGGAGUUCUCCACUCCUGAUCACUCAUCUUACAGGUUCCUUAUAGACACCUGUUUUCCGAUUCCAACAUCAGGUUGAAAUUUGAGCGACCCCACAAACAAGCUACCAAACAGCUAUCAACCACAUGCAUCAGCAUAUUAAAAGCCUUUCCUACUAACUAUCCCAUGACUCAUCGCACCUUAUCACUUCAUACACAGACCAUGCUCUGAUACCACUUAAACGGGGAUGUCACGCCCCGAACCUCGAGCGUGUCAACAUCCCACCAUGGUCAUUCCAAUGCGACAUUCCCAGGUAGUGUCGCCGACCCCAUUGAUUUAUUAAUGCGCAAGCGGAACGUAUUAUAAAACCCCUGGCAAUAAAAUACGGGAUAGAAAAGCAGGAAGCAAAACCACAACAUAACACUUUCAUAAUUCAAUAGAAUUACAAACAGAGGUCUACAGCCAAAAGUCUUCAAAAGACCGGCUCUUUAAAAUGAACUGUCCUACGACCUACAAGUCGUACACGCUCUCCAAUCCUUAUAACUUCAUCUUUGCAACUCCUCAAGGCCAACCAAAGCUAUCUGGUCGCUCCGUCCACCAGGGACCUGAAAUUUUAAUCCCACAACCGGGAUGAGACGAUGUCUUAGCAAGUUCAACCCCCUAAACCCCUAUUAGAAAGAAAAUACGCCCCGGGUGGCCUAGCCACAUCACACAGAAGACUUACCUCGCCUCAGCCUUCAUCUGCAGGUUAGCACAAUUUAUAUAAUUCAACCACGUACAAUUAUGAUAACCAAACAACCAUGGCACAAUCACAUUAUCAAAACAAUUCAACCACUUGGAUCGUCUCAGCGAUCAAUCGACUCGGCCGAUUACAUGUCAUUCUAGCAAAUCAAUCAUUGCUCUCAAUCCCGGCCCUAUAGGAAGGUUUAACAAUCAGUGGCAAUCACGGCCCCACUCGGCAAGGUUUAACAAUCAGUGGCAAUCACGGCCCCACUCGGCACGACCUUUAAUUAUGUGGUCCAUCACGGCCUCACUAGGCACGACCUCUAAUAGGUGGUUAAUUACGGCCUCACUGGGCACGACCUCUCCUAGGUGGUACAUCACGGCCUCACUGGGCACGACCUCUAAUAGGUGGUCAAUCACGGCCUCACUAGGCACGACCUCUCAUAGGUGGUUCAUCACGGCCCUAUUAGGCACGACCUCUCAUAGGUGGUCCAUCACGGCCCUAUUAGGCACGACCUCUCAUAGGUGGUCCAUCACGGCCUCACUGGGCACGGCCUCUAAUAGGUGGUUAAUCACGGCCUCACUGGGCACGACCUUUCCUAGGUGGUACAUCACGACCUCACUGGGCACGACCUUUCCUAGGUGGUACAUCACGGCCAAUCUCCCAUCAAUUUCUACACUUAGGAUUUUAUAAAAAAAAUCCCUAUUUAUCACAAUCACACUCCAUUUGCCACAAUCAAUCAUCAAAUGCACAGCAGCGAUCGGCACGAAAUUCUGAGAGUUUAGGGUCCUGACAAAAUUUUCGGAAUUUAUUAAAUAAUUAAAUUUAUUCCGAAAAUAAUUAAAUAAUAAUAUUCAUAUUUCUCACGAUCCACACUCAAUUUAUAAUAUCCAAUCAUCAAUUUCAAAAUCUGACUACACAGCAGCGAUCGGCACGAAAUUCUGAGCAACCGGGAUCAAAAAUAAUUUUUCCUUUUUUUUUUAAAUAAUAAUAUUUAAUAAUUUCGGAAUUAAUAUAAUAUUAUAAAUUUCCAGAAUUUCGAAGCAAUUAAAUAAUUCAAAAUUAAAAUCCUAUUAUGUCACAUCAAGGCUUUAUAUUAAAAAUAAACAUACUUAACUUUAAACUAAACACACUUUAACUUAAUUAAACACCCUAAUCUAAUCAUCAACCAAAUAAACUAAUAUAACCACAUAAACUUAGUUAACUUAGACUAAGCACACUUAGGGCAUCAUUAACCGUCUAAUCAAGGUUUAAUGAGUUAAACUCACCGGAUUAGCGAGCCGAGC
rnacentral:lncRNA from 1 species